GAUGAACGCUGGCGGCUUGCCUAAUACAUGCAAGUCGAGCGAACAGAUGAGGAGCUUGCUCCUCUGACGUUAGCGGCGGACGGGUGAGUAACACGUGGAUAACCUACCUAUAAGACUGUGAUAACUUCGGGAAACCGGAGCUAAUACCGGAUAAUAUAUUGAACCGCAUGGUUCAAUAGUUAAAGACGGUUUUGCUGUCACUUAUAGAUGGAUCCGCGCCGCAUUAGCUAGUUGGUAAGGUAACGGCUUACCAAGGCAACGAUGCGUAGCCGACCUGAGAGAGUGAUCGGCCACACUGGAACUGAGACACGGUCCAGACUCCUACGGGAGGCAGCAGUAGGGAAUCUUCCGCAAUGGGCGAAAGCCUGACGGAGCAACGCCGCGUGAGUGAUGAAGGUCUUCGGAUCGUAAAACUCUGUUAUUAGGGAAGAACAAAUGUGUAAGUAACUAUGCACGUCUUGACGGUACCUAAUCAGAAAGACACGGCUAACUACGUG
rnacentral:rRNA from 1 species